CCCUGUAGCGCCAUCGGUUUAUAGCGUUCUAGGUCUGUAUCAACCCGUUCAGAUCUCCUCUUAUUGCAGCCCGACUGGUUGCCCUCCCAAUCGAACGCCGCCGCCGUGAUAUUGCUCGGCUGCAGUUGCCGUGGCGAGGUAUCUGGCCUGCCUGCUGCUAGAUCAAGGGUUGUCGUCACCUCGCCGUGCCCCGUUGCAGCAGUGUCGGUACUGCCGGUUUGGAAAUCUACAACUCACUGUUUGUUCCCUACUGUUGAGGCAAGUUCAUGACGGAUAGUGAAUUUUGCAUAUCUCUAUUCACUCGGUUUUAUUUAAUGUUUAUGUUCUGACCAUGAUGCCAAUGAUAAUGAUGAUGAUGACCCAUGCAUAUUAUGCAUAAUGCAUACUCAUGAUGACAAAGAUGAUAAUGUGACCUAUUUUGGUGGCACAAUGCCACCUUCAUUGAUGGGUUGCGACCCACUUUGGAGGCACCCUCCACUAGUUGGAGUGAGUGGAUGCCGACGGGUGUUCACUCAAGCGAUACCGGUAUUCGCAAUGAGAUGUGAUGAGCAUAUAGGCAUGUAGAACAUCAUAAUAUGUUCUAAUGGAUUAAUGAUGGCUAAUGAUGUGUUGGUGUUUUGAUUUAUGUAAAGUUUACUAUUUGAUUGUGAGCUUGUUGAGUCUUUGUACUCACCCUUGUUGCUUUCAUGUUUUUAGGUAAACCUUGAGGACGACAUGCAUGGGGAGUUUUGGGAGUAGCACCUUCACCAUAUACACCUCACGAUUCACACUUUUGUCACCAAUCUGUUUGAACUAUGCAUUUGAUAGUUGGAUUCAAUUUGGUCAUAAACGUUCAUGGAGUUUGUGUUGGUCAUGGUUACCGAUAUUGUUUGCGGACAAUAGUUUCUAUAGUUGUGGUAUGGCAGAUUUAUACAUGGUUGAACAUUU